UACAGAGGUCUCAAGCGUUGUUCGGGAUUCAUUGGGCGUAAAGGGUGCGUAGGCGGCGCGGUAAGUCGGGUGUGAAAUCUCGGAGCUUAACUCCGAAACUGCAUUCGAUACUGCCGUGCUUGAGGACUGGAGAGGAGACUGGAAUUUACGGUGUAGCGGUGAAAUGCGUAGAUAUCAGGAAGAACACCAAUGGCGAAGGCAGCUCUCUGGGACGGUACUGACACUGAGACGCGAAAGCGUGGGGAGCGAACAGG
rnacentral:rRNA from 1 species